rnacentral:rRNA from 1 species
UAACACGUGAGUAAUCUGCCCUCCUCUUUGGGAUAACUGCCUGAAAGGGUGGCUAAUACCGGGUAUUCUCUUCGCACCGCAUGGUGUGGGGUGGAAAGUUUUUUCGGUGGGGGAUGUGCUCGCGGCCUAUCAGCUUGUUGGUGGGGUAAUGGCCUACCAAGGCUUUGACGGGUAGCCGGCCUGAGAGGGUGACCGGCCACACUGGGACUGAGACACGGCCCAGACUCCUACGGGAGGCAGCAGUGGGGAAUAUUGGACAAUGGGCGGAAGCCUGAUCCAGCAACGCCGCGUGAGGGAUGACGGCCUUCGGGUUGUAAACCUCUUUCAGCACAGACGAAGCGCCUGUGAAGGUGGUGACGGUAUGUGCAGAAGAAGCACCGGCCAACUACGUGCCAGCAGCCGCGGUAAUACGUAGGGUGCGAGCGUUGUCCGGAAUUAUUGGGCGUAAAGGGCUCGUAGGCGGUUUGUCGCGUCGGGAGUGAAAUCCACUGGCUUAACUGGUGGCUUGCUUUCGAUACGGGCAGACUGGAGGUAUGCAGGGGAGAACGGAAUUCCUGGUGUAGCGGUGAAAUGCGCAGAUAUCAGGAGGAACACCGGUGGCGAAGGCGGUUCUCUGGGCAUGUCCUGACGCUGAG